rnacentral:rRNA from 1 species
GUUCUCCAGGGGAAACCAUAAGUUUUUCGGUUACGGGGAGAGUAUGGUCGCAAGGCUGAAAUUUAAAGGAAUUGACGGAAGGGCACCACCAGGGGUGGAACCUGCGGCUUAAUUUGACUCAACACGGGGAAACUUACAUGGUCCAGACAUCGAUAGGAUAAACAGACUGAUAGAUCUUUUUUGAUGCGGUGAGUGGUGGUGCAUGGCCGUUCCUAGUUCGUGGAGUGAUCUGUCAGGUUUAUUCCGGUAACGAACGAGACUACAACCUUCAUUUAAGAGGCAAAAGCAGGUUUCGCGAUUGACUAUACUUGUGUAGUUUUUCGUGUCUCUUCAAGAAGAAUAUUCAAGUUCUCAAUUGGUUGGGUUUUCAGGCAACUGGCGACUCAAUCCGUUGUGGAAUGCGGGUAUUUUCUCUUUUGUCAAGCAGUCAUUGGGCAACCUUUGGCUGACUUAUGGAGGGACUGCUGGUGUUACAAAACCAGAGGAAGUGUGGCGCUAAC